UCUCCGUUCCACCUGCUCUCUCGCCGGUCAGAGAGUGUGAGAGAGCGGGCGAAAUGGAGAGA
rnacentral:pre_miRNA from 1 species